AGUUUUAUUGGAGAGAGAAGCUCUUCCCUCUCUCUAGAAAUUAGGGUUUCUUGGUUCUCACUUCCUCAAUGGUUGUGAGCCGCCACUUCCUCUCUUGUAGGGAUCUCUCCUCUGCCAUCAGAGCUCAUCCUCUCCGAAAUGGAGUUUGUCCCCUCCCUUGUGGAGGUUCCUCUCCCAUGAAUGUGGGUUUUUCUUCUUUCUUCUUUAUCCCUGUUAACUCUACAUCUCCAUUGUUUCCUUUUCAUGUCCCACCACCAAUUUCCAUCGUGGUUUCUCUUCUCUCUGUCAACAAGCACGCUGUUGUGCUCUCAAAUCUGAAUCUAACUUUCCUAACCAACCAUUUUGAGCUCUAUGGCCAUGGAAG
rnacentral:lncRNA from 1 species